CAAAGUGUAGCUUAAUCAAAGCAUCUGGCUUACACCCAGAAGAUUUCAUAUAAUGUGGCCGCUUUGAGCUGAGG
rnacentral:tRNA from 1 species